AGAUAAUAGAUACCCGGGUAGUCCACGCCCUAAACGAUGUCGACUGGUUGUUGGGGGUUUGACACUCUCAGUAAACGAAAGCUAAACGCGUGAAGUCGACCGCCUGGGGAGUACGGCCGCAAGGUUAAAACUCAAAGGAAUUGACGGGGACCCGCACAAGCGGUGGAUUAUGUGGAUUAAUUCGAUGCAACGCGAAAAACCUUACCUACCCUUGACAUGUCCGGGAGCCUGCUGAGAGGCGGGUGUGCUCGAAAGAGAACCGGAACACAGGUGCUGCAUGGCUGUCGUCAGCUCGUGUCGUGAGAUGUUGGGUUAAGUCCCGCAACGAGCGCAACCCUUGUCAUUAGUUGCUACAUUUGGUUGGGCACUCUAAUGAGACUGCCGGUGACAAACCGGAGGAAGGUGGGGAUGACGUCAAGUCCUCAUGGCCCUUAUGGGUAGGGCUUCACACGUAAUACAAUGGCGCGUACAGAGGGUAGCCAAGGGGUCGACCUGGAGCCAAUCCCGCAAAGCGCGUCGUAGUCCGGAUUGCAGUCUGCAAC
rnacentral:rRNA from 1 species